GAUGAACGCUGGCGGCGUGCCUAAUACAUGCAAGUCGAGCGAACGGACGAGAAGCUUGCUUCUCUGAUGUUAGCGGCGGACGGGUGAGUAACACGUGGAUAACCUACCUAUAAGACUGGGAUAACUUCGGGAAACCGGAGCUAAUACCGGAUAAUAUUUUGAACCGCAUGGUUCAAAAGUGAAAGACGGUCUUGCUGUCACUUAUAGAUGGAUCCGCGCUGCAUUAGCUAGUUGGUAAGGUAACGGCUUACCAAGGCAACGAUGCAUAGCCGACCUGAGAGGGUGAUCGGCCACACUGGAACUGAGACACGGUCCAGACUCCUACGGGAGGCAGCAGUAGGGAAUCUUCCGCAAUGGGCGAAAGCCUGACGGAGCAACGCCGCGUGAGUGAUGAAGGUCUUCGGAUCGUAAAACUCUGUUAUUAGGGAAGAACAUAUGUGUAAGUAACUGUGCACAUCUUGACGGUACCUAAUCAGAAAGCCACGGCUAACUACGUGCCAGCAGCCGCGGUAAUACGUAGGUGGCAAGCGUUAUCCGGAAAUAUUGGGCGUAAAGCGCGCGUAGGCGGUUUUUUAGUCUGAUGUGAAAGCCCACGGCUCAACCGUGGAGGGUCAUUGGAAACUGGAAAACUUGAGUGCAGAAGAGGAAAGUGGAAUUCCAUGUGUAGCGGUGAAAUGCGCAGAGAUAUGGAGGAACACCAGUGGCGAAGGCGACUUUCUGGUCUGUAACUGACGCUGAUGUGCGAAAGCGUGGGGAUCAAACAGGAUUAGAUACCCUGGUAGUCCACGCCGUAAACGAUGAGUGCUAAGUGUUAGGGGGUUUCCGCCCCUUAGUGCUGCAGCUAACGCAUUAAGCACUCCGCCUGGGGAGUACGACCGCAAGGUUGAAACUCAAAGGAAUUGACGGGGACCCGCACAAGCGGUGGAGCAUGUGGUUUAAUUCGAAGCAACGCGAAGAACCUUACCAAAUCUUGACAUCCUUUGACAACUCUAGAGAUAGAGCCUUCCUCUUCGGGGGACAAAGUGACAGGUGGUGCAUGGUUGUCGUCAGCUCGUGUCGUGAGAUGUUGGGUUAAGUCCCGCAACGAGCGCAACCCUUAAGCUUAGUUGCCAUCAUUAAGUUGGGCACUCUAAGUUGACUGCCGGUGACAAACCGGAGGAAGGUGGGGAUGACGUCAAAUCAUCAUGCCCCUUAUGAUUUGGGCUACACACGUGCUACAAUGGACAAUACAAAGGGCAGCGAAACCGCGAGGUCAAGCAAAUCCCAUAAAGUUGUUCUCAGUUCGGAUUGUAGUCUGCAACUCGACUACAUGAAGCUGGAAUCGCUAGUAAUCGUAGAUCAGCAUGCUACGGUGAACACGUUCCCGGGUCU
rnacentral:rRNA from 1 species